rnacentral:lncRNA from 1 species
CCAGCAGGGCCCCCCACUCUCGACUGUGCUCACCGAACAAUGGAUCCACAAAGAGGCUUCCAAGGCUAGUGACCAACCCAGCACUGUGGAACAAGGACAUCUUGAACAACUCUCCUACCACGAGAGCGUUUUGACAUCCCAGAGUGGCGCUGGCCAUGCUACUUCCUCCUUAGGGAUCCUCCCUGCCCUCCACGCGUGCUGUAUCAUCCAUAGAUCACACCUACAGCCCGCCCACCUGCUUUAGUCCUCUGCCUUGCUACGUAGGAAGGAGCACGCCCAGGCUGGAGGCCCCGGAGCACCUUGGGAAGAGGGGAGUAGGGCUGAGACUCAUGCUCCCACCUUCGCUGCUGAGUUUCGCCCUACACUCCUUCUUGAGGUGACCCCAAGAUCCAGCUAAUUGUUUUCCCCAAAGUGCCUGACCUGCGUGAGACUCAGAGGUCUAGAUAUGUCACAACCAAUCUCCAUGUUCCCCCAAAGGACUGUUAUUCUCGAGCCCUGUAUAAAUCUCUGUCCACAUGUGAC